rnacentral:tRNA from 1 species
UCUCCAGUGGCGCAGUUGGUUAGCGCAUGGUACUUAUACGACAGUAGCUGCAUGUGAAACUAUACUAAUAAUAUGUACAUAAUAAAAGUAAUGCCGAGGUCGCGAGUUCGAGCCUCGCCUGGAGAA